UUGAACUUUUCCCUUAAUUCAAAGGCACUGCUUUUCACAUUGAUAGUAAGCAUUCUCUUUGUAGCAGACUGAACACAAGGGAGUGUUAAGAGGUGAAUAAUUCACUUUAAGCCUUUUCAUACCGACAUCGCUUCUGAUAGCUUUGCCUUCAACAGAAUAUAUGGUGUGGUUCUUUCUACAUUGCUGAAGUAGGCAACAGCACUUUAAGCCACCACUUAUAAAGUUAUCUGACAGCACCUAUGGCUCUGGAAUUUUCAAAGUGCAUGAGUGCUCUUGUUCUCUAUCAAGAAUAUGGAAGAUUUAUCCCACCAGAGGGAAUACCUACAACUGGAUUCUCUGCAAUCAGGCCUCCAAACUAAGAACCCAAAGAAUGGAUAUCACAGAAAAGAGACCAGAUGGCAAGAAUAAGAAGAAAAGAAUCAGAACGAGUCAUACUUCUCUUAGUAACAGGACAGCAAGACCCAGACUGGCAUCCGGUCGGGAGAAAGCAGCACCCACUGUCGCUACGCCUUCUUUCCCCAACAUGCCAAAUAUUCC